UGUUAAUAUGGUGUAUCACACUGAUUGAUUUGCAUAUAUUGAAGAAUCCUUGCAUCCCUGGAUAAAUCCCAUUUGAUCAUGGUGUAUGAUCCUUUUAAUGUGUUGUUGGAUUCUGUUUGCCAGUAUUUUGUUGAGGAUUUUUGCAUCUAUAUUCAUCAGUGAUAUUGGUCUGUAAUUUUCCUUUUUUGUAGUAUCUUUGUCUGGUUUUGGUAUCAGGGUGAUGGUGGCCUCGUAGAAUGAGUUUGGGAGUGUUCCUCCCUCUGUACUUUAUUGGAAGAGUUUGAGAAGGAUGGAUGUUAGCUCUUCUCUUUGUUUGAUAGAAUUCACCUGGGAAGCCAUCUGGUCCUGGACUUUUGCUUGUUGCAAGAUUUUUCUUCACAGUUUCAAUUUCAUUACUUGUGAGUGGUUUGCUCACAGUUUCUGUUUCUUCCUGGUUCAGUCUUGGAAGGUUAUACCUUUCUAAGAAUUUGUCCAUUUCUUCCAGGUUGUCCACUUUAUUGGCAUAGAAUUGCUUGUAGUAGUCUCUUAUAAUGCUUUGUAUUUCUGCGGUGUUCAUUGUAACUUCUCCUCUUUCAUUUCUAAUUUUAUUGAUUUGAGUUAUUUCCCUCUUUUUCUUGAUGAGUCUGGCUAAUGGUUUAUCAAUUUUAUCUUCUCAAAGAACCAGCUUUUAGUUUUAUUGAUCUUUGCUAUUAUUUUCUUUGUUUCUAUUUCAUUUAUUUCUGCUCUGAUCUUUAUGAUUUCUUUCCCUCUGCUAACUUUGGGUUUUGUUUGUUCUUCUUUCUCUAGUUGCUUUAGGUGUAAGCUUAGGUUGUUUAUUUGAGAUUUUUCUUCUUUCUUGAGGUGGGAUUGUACUGCUAUAAACUUCCCUCUUAGAACUGCUUUUGCUGCAUCCCAUAGGUUUUGGAUCGUCGUGUUUUCGUUGUCAUUUGUCUCUAGGUAUUUUUUGAUUUCCUCUUUGAUUUCUUCAGUGAUCUCUUGGUUAUUUAGUAACGUAUUGUUUAGCCUCCAUGUGUUUAUGCUUUUUACGUUUUCUUCCCUGUAAUUGAUUUCUAAUCUUAUAGCGUUGUGGUUGGGAAAGAUGCUUGAUAUGAUUUCAAUUUUCUUAAAUUUACCAAGGCUUGAUUUGUGACCCAAGGGGUGAUCUAUCCUGGAGAACGUUCUGUGUGCACUUGAGAAGAAAGUGUGAUCUGCUGUUCUUGGAUGGAAUUUCCUAUAAAUAUCAAUUAAAUCUAUCUGGUCUGUUGUGUCAUUUAAAGCUUGUGUUUCCUUAUUUUCUAUCUGGAUGAUCUGUCCAUCGGUGUAAGUGAGGUGUUAAAAUCCCCCACUAUUAUUGUGUCACUGUCGAUUUCCUCUUUUAUAGGUGUUAGCAUUUGCCUUACGUAUUGAGGUGCUCCUGUGUUGGGUGCAUAAACAUUUAUAAUUCUUAUAUCUUCUUCUUGGAUUAAUCUCUUGAUCAUAAUAUAGUGUCCUUGUCUCUUGUAACAUUAUUUUAAAGCCUAUUUUAUCUGCUAUGAGUAUUGCUACUCCAGCUUUCUUUUGAUUUCCAUUUGCAUGGAAUAUCUUUUUUCAUCCCCUCACUUUCAGUCUGUAUGUGUCCCUAGGUCUGAAGUGGGUCUCUUGUAGACAGCAUAUAUACAGGUCUUCUUUUUGUAUCCAUUCAGCGAGCCUGUGUCUUUUGGUUGGAGCAUUUAAUCCAUUCACGUUUAAGGUAAUUAUCGAUAUGUAUGUUCCUAUGACCAUUUUCUUAAUUGUUUUGGGUUUGUUUUUGUGGGUCCUUUUCUUCUCUUGUGUUUCCCACUUAGAGAAGUUCCUUUAGCAUUUGUUGUAGAGCUGGUUCGGUGGUGCUGAAUUCUCUUAGCUUUUGUUUGUCUGUAAAGCUUUCAAUUUCUCCAUUGAAUCUGAAUGAGAUCCUUGAGUUAUCUUGGUUGUAGGUUCUUCCCUUUCAUCACUUUAAAUAUAUCAUGCCACUCCCUCCUGGCUUGUAGAGUUUCUGCUGAGAAAUCAGCUGUUAACCUUAUGGGAGUUCCCUUGUAUGUUAUUUGUUGUUUUUCCCUUGUUGGCUUUUAAUAAUUUUUCUUUGUCUUUAAUUUUUCUCAGUUUCAUUACUGUGUGUCUCGGUGUGUUUUUCCUUGGGAUUCUCUAUGCUUCCUGGACUUGGGUGGCUAUUUCCUUUCCCAUGUUAGAGAAGUUGUCGACAAUAAUCUCUUCAAAUAUUUUCUUGGGUCCUUUCUCUCCUUUCUCCUUCUGGGACCCCUAUAAUGUGAAUGUUGGUGCGUCUGAUGUUGUCCCAGAGGUCUCUUAGGCUGUCUUCAUUUCUUUUUAUUCUUUUUUUUUUAUUCUGUUCCACGGCAGUGAAUUCCACCAUUCUGUCUUCCAGGCCACUUAUCCGUUCUUCUGCCUCAGUUAUUCUGCUAUUGAUUCCUUCUAGCGUAUUUUUCAUUUUAGUUAUUGUAUUGUUCAUCUCUGUUUGUUUGUUCUUUAAUUCUUCUAGGUGUUUGUUCUCUAAUUCUUCUAGGUCUUUGUUAAACAUUUUUUGCAUCUUCUCAAUCUUUUCCUCCAUUCUUUUUCUGAGGUCCUGGAUCAUCUUCACUAUCAUUAUUCUGAAUUCUUUCUCUGAAGUUUGCCUAUCUCCACUUCAUUUACUUGUUUUUCUGAGGUUUUACCUUGUUCCUUCACCUGGUACAUAGUCCUCUGUCUUUUCAUUUUGUCUGUCUUUCUAUGAAUGUGGUUUUUGUUCCACAGGCUGCAGGAUUGUAGUUCUUGCUGCUUCUGUCUGUGCUCUGCUGGAUGAGGCUAUCUAAGAGGCUUGUGUAAGCUUCCUGAUGGGAAGGACUGGUGGUGGGUAGAGCUGGGUGUUGCUCCGGUGGGCAGAGUUCAGUAAAACUUUAGUCUGCUUGUUUGCUGAUGGGUGGGGCUUUGUUCCCUCCCUGUUGGUUGUUUGGCUUGAGGUGACCCAGGACUGGAGCCUACCUGGGCUCUUUGGUGGGGCUAAUGACAGACUCUGGGAGGGCUUACACCAAGGAGUACUUCCCGGAACUUCUGCUGCCAGUGUUCUUGUCCCCACGGUGAGCCACAGCCACCCCCCGCCUCUGCAGGAGACCCUCCAACACCAGCAGGUAGGUCUGGUUCAGUCUGCUAUGGGGUCACCGCUCCUUCCCCUGGGUCCCGAUGCGCACACUACUUUGUGUGUGCCCUCCAAGAGUGGAGUCUCUGUUUCCCCAGUCCUGUUGAAGUCCUGCAAUCAAAUCCCGCUAGCCUUCAAAGUCUGAUUCUCUGGGAAUUUCUCCUCCUGUUGUCGGACCCCCAGGUUGGGAAGCCUUGAUGUGGGGCUCAGAACCUUCCCUCCAGUGGGUAGACUUCUGUGCUAUAAUUGUUUUCUGGUUUGUGAGUCACCCACCCAGCAGUUAUGGGAUUUGAUUUUAUUGUGAUUGCACCCCUCCUACCGUCUCAUUGCAGCUUCUCCUUUGUCUUUGGAUGUGGGGUAUCUUUUUUGGUGAGUUCCAGUGUCUUCCUGUUAAUGAUUUUUCAGCAGUUAGUUGUGAUUCUAAGUUGGGAGUGAGUGCAUGUCCAUCUCCUCCUCCAUCUUGAACCAAUCUCCAAAAUUGGAAAGGUGUAGUAGAACUAGCUUUUUUUAAUUGAAUUGUUUUUAUAGUGUCUUCCAGAUUUUCUCGUCAUUGUUUGAACUAGACUACCAGAGGAGUCAUAUUGUUGGCAUUUGCAUUGUCUUCCGAUUAAGAAAUUUUUUGUGAACCCUCUAUGUACACUUUGAAUAGACUUAAACAAGUAUCAUAAAGUUAAACUACUUUAUUUGGCCUCUUUGUUCUGCUGCAGAGAAUUCUGUGAGGUUAGUGCUAGAACAAAUCUUAAAGAUCUUUGAAGUUACUAAAAGAUGCCCAGCCAGGAUUUUCUCAUCACCCAGGCGUUAGGAUUGUUGAGGUGCUAAAUGAGGAUGUCUCCAUUAUGUAUAGCACAUAACUUGCCUGCGUUUUAUCUAACUUCCUCCCUUACAACAUGCUGGGUGGCAGCAGCAGUGGUUGGUGGUGGUAGUAGUUGGUGGUACCACCCGUAUUAUAAAGAUAAGGAAAUGGGCCAGGAUUCCAGGCCUACUGAGUGACUCUCAAGUCUUUUCUCUGUUUGACUCUGCUACUUUUUAGUGCCUUAUGUAUUUAAUGUCUAGAAUAUAGUGUUUAGCAGAAUAGGAAGAGCUGACGUGCUUGAAGACUAGAACUUUGGGGGUAGAGGUCUUAACAUCACACACUUCAGUACCGGCUUCACAAAACCACAGUACCUACAUGUCACAGAACCCCACCAGAUCUAUAAAUUUUGUCUUAAAGGUUAAAUCUGGCCUUCAUUUGGUGCCUUAACUGUCUUCCUGUCUUCCAGUUUGGAAGGAUGAAACAUCACCACAAACAAGCCCAAGGAGGGUAUUUUAUCUUGGAUUUUUCAACCCAAGGAUGAGACUCAACAUAGCUACCACUUUUGUGGGCAGCCUGCUGCAAAAUGACCACUGAGGUAGUGACUGAAACAUGCUUUGGACCCACCCCUAGUCAGUUUACUGUGAUUCUUUUCUAUUACUACUCCUUGCAAUUGGGAGACCCAAGUGGUAGCUGGGCCCGGCGGCAGGGAAUCCUUGUGUGGCAAUAAGUCAAGAUGCCAACAUCCAGCAAUUUUAGCGAUAUAGAUAUGUAGCACUAACUCUACAGCACCCAAAACAAGUUGCAGAGAAAUAUUUGUUGAGCACCUACUACAUGCCAUGAAGUGUUCCAGGAUUAAGGAUACAGCAACAAACAGCACAUCUGGCAUUCACUGUUUUUGUCAUAACCAAGCUUUUUAGAAAUGCACCUAAACUAAGAGGAAAUAGACAUUGAGAUCAAGAGCAUUUCAAUACAGUGCAUUAAUGGUAGACUUAACCACAUUUGAGGUGUGUGAAAGUCUUUUUGAUUCUUGGUUCUCAGUUGUGUCCUCAAAAGGUAGAUAGGGAAUGGAUUGUUGCUGUGUUUUAACAAGUUCACCAACUUCCAUGCACGUCAAUAGCACCAAAUUAGUAAGCUGGUCUACUCUGCUGAUUAUUUAAAUCUACAAUUUAUUUUGUGGUUUGUGACUUUGAUUUUUCAUUUGUAACAUCCAGUAGAUUUUUCUGUUACUUCUAAGUGUAUUUCUCCCCAUGUUUCUGGAUACCAUGCAUUCAACAAACUGAAAGGAAUGAAAUUUAGAAGCCAGAAGACCAGAGUUUUUCUGGCUCUCUCACUUGAACACGUUUGAUUUUGCCAAGACGUUUUCAUGUCUCUAAAUCUAUUUUUCUCUUCCAUAAAAUAAUAUGAAAUCAUCUACAUCACAGGAUUGUUUGGGGAAGAGUGUGAUAAUGUAUUCAAAACACUUUGCACUCUACUGUGCAAAUGUAAGGAAUGAUUUGGUCAACCACAAAUAUGUGCUAUAUACUGUCUUUUGAGUGCUGAAGGCGGGAAUCUGAAUAAGACACAGGAAUAAUGACAAGAAGGACGCAAACAUUUUGGGGCUUUGAGCCAAACCGUAAGUCAUGUGGGGUUUAGCCUAUACGGUAUGUCUAAUGAGGGAGAAAACCAGAAAGAGGCAGAGCAGUUCAUGGAAGACCUUGAAUGCUGUGCAAAGAGCUUGAUGUUCAUUCUACCAGCAAUGGGCAUCACUGAAGGGCUUUCUUGAGCAUUACAUAUCUAAGAAAAAUCAGUGGGAGUUGGUGCCUGGUUGUUUGGAUGUAGAAUAAGUCAACCAUUAAUGUUCUUACUUGUGUAUAAUUCUCAUGCUAAUGUCAGAAUAAGUGACAAUUACAGUGUAGUAAUAGUGACAGCUUUUAAAACUUGGGAAAUGAAAGUGAUAGUGCCUCAAACGAGCUGCCCAGCAGUCAUUGCCAAGCUUGUAAACGAAUGUGGAAGCAUUCAGAGCUGCAGAAUCAGGGUAGACAUGAGUCUCCUAAGUGACCUCUUUUCUCCUGAUCGAGUUAUCCUUUAAUACCUAAUGCCUCUUGCUAAAUGUUUCAAUAGUGCCCUUAUCUCCAAGGACUGAGUCCACACUCCUUGACUUCAGUCUGAUGUUCAAUGUAUCAUUUUAAGAGUUUGGCCUUACUGCAUCUGCCUUACCAGCCUGCCUCUCCUUGGUCCCCUCUACAAAUAAAUCAUCCCAUCCAGGUGGACUUAACUCCAGUCACUCAGUGAUCCAUGCUCACCUUCGAAGGAACUUCUCUCUCUCCUCCCUUCAGUCAACAUCCAGAACCUACUUCAGGGUUCCAGUUUCUGACCUUAACUAUACCCGCCCCCUCAACCCUCAACUCUUCCUCUCCAGUUGUAUGUGCUUUUCCCGUCAUACUUGGAUUAUGCCACUACUAUGACACUGCUGUUGUGUUCAUCUAUCAGCUCUACUAAUAAGCCAGACUCUAGCUUAUCAGUGCAAUUGGCUCAUGUAUAUAUAUACAGGAGAGAGUAAAUAAAGCAUUUCAUGGAAUUUGUAGAGCCAGUUAAGGGCUUAGAAGCCAGCCAAUCCAACUAUGUCAUUAUACGAAUAAGGAAACUGAGGGAAAGAAACACGAAGCCAAUAACCCAGGUGUCACAGCUAGUGGCAGAGCCUUGACUGAAAUGGAGGUCUCUGGAUUCCCAGCUCCCUCAACACUGCCCUUGUCUUCCUAUUGUAACUAUUAUUUUCUCUUUGGAGUAAGUCCUAAUUACAAAUUUAUUGUGUCAGUCAUUCAACAACACGGAGGACCGUUAAUUUUAAGGUACUGUACUAGGUUACAAGAAAAGACAUGGUACCUGUCUUCAAGAGACCUUGGCCUGGAGGAAAAUGUGGGCAAGAUGUACCACUGAAAUAUGGAAACAAAAAAUUUCAACUUUUAUUUGUUUUAUCUUUAUCAUUUUAGUUUUGUUUUUUCUGAUGGAGUGCUCAAGGUUGUUCAAGGUUUGGAUUCUACUGGCCUGGGUAGGCACUGUCCUAAAAGCAAGUUAAAAAUGGGCCUUUCCUCAAGAGCUUUCCAUUUAAAGUUGUUAAAUUAUCCAGGCUAUACCAGCAAGCCAGCUUCAAGCUUUGGCUGCUUACCAAGGGUUGUGCAGUGUGGGUGAGAUCAUCCGGAUCUGAAGGAACCAUGGCCAGAGGUGAGUGGGCUGCUCACACACACCUGAGUCUACUUUCCUAUUAAAAGCAAUAAAGGUUUAAAAAUGUGGUAAGUUGUUCACAGGCCAUACCCUAGAUCAAGAGACUGAGGUAGAAAAUGCACCAAAACUUAGUGGGUUUUGACCAUUUAGAGCCCUGAGGCUAUAGCCCUAGUCCACACGGUGAAAUGGGCAGGGAGGUAGGGGCACCAGUGUUUAUCUCCCUUGUGAACUAAGGGCUAGGAGAGAGCUGCAGAAUGAGGUUCUUCCAUCACACAUCAUUUAGGGCUAAUAAUACUCUGGAUUUGCUUGACUGUGUCCACUGCUUUUAACAUACAAUCCCAGCUGAUUUUGCUGUGGAGACUGAGACAGAGCUCCCUUCACUGUCCCCUCCCUCCACUUCACCCACUAAACGCCGUUUACCAUUUCAAAUUUCAAGUGACAGGAAAGCAAAGGAGUUCCAUAAUCAACACAGGCUAGUGACUGCAGUCCUUUUCUUUUGGAUUACUUCCUGAUACUUUCUUGCCAAGACACACAAGGUGCCUGUGUGCUUUAUGUUAGUAAAUGGCACAGGGCCCUACUGCCUUUAGGCUCUCUGCCCUCUGGCUUCAGAACUGACCAGUCGAAUGGUCUGUGGAAUCAGCUUCUUGCCUCUGAGUGACCCUGCUCCAGGGCCGCAAUCCUGGGAAGUUAAGGUAUCAGUACAAAGCAGUCAAACUUUGCGGCUAUAGGGUGGGUGAGGUGAGGGUACUGAGCAGGGAAUGGUAUAUACACGAACCUCUUUAAAGGUAGACUUUUUUCCCCUUUGGUCCCCCACUGUCUCAUUUGGGAGAGAGACCAGAGACCAAGGGGUAGGAAAGUGAGGGGAAAAAGUGGCUAAAAAUGUCCUUUUCUGGGGCAGUCAUUCCAUUCUUUGAAAAUGCAGAUAAUUUGGUGUUUUGCCAAGCGGGGGGGGGGGCAGGAGGGGAGACACAGACCCAAAUAACAUACCUUCUAGUUGGUUAUAUCUCUCUAGGAUUAAUUCUGUCUUAUUAAGCAGCUAUUAAGCAGCACUUGGCCUCUCCGUGGGUGUCUGCUGUGUGCUUCUGAAUAAAAACUUUCUAAUACCAUUUAUUCACAGUAACACCAGGCACUUCACACUGAAACCCAGCACCGUUAGAGCAGCAACAGCAAUACUAGAAAGAAAUGUGGAAGUCCCAGCCCCACCCAAGACCAAGGGAAUCAGGAGCCCAGACCCUUCAAUGUGAGAUGUUCUCUUUGGAUUUAAUUCUCCAUACUCUCCAAAGAUGAGGAAAAAUCCUGUGCUGCCACAUGCAUCUCACUGCUCAUCAAAUCACCUGAGCAGUAAGGGGACGAAACUUUCCCAUCUCCUGUCCAGCUUGCCCCACUCUCGAGAGGGCCGACCAGACAAGUGAUCACAUGCCAUUUUGGGAGAAAAAUUCAAAAUGAUUCUCAAGUAUCUGGGCUUAGUUCUUAGUGGCUCAUACAUACCUGUUCACGUCUCUAACUAUGGCAGAAGUAUAGUCAAAAAUCACCAGAAUUUGGGAUUUUAAAGAGGCCAGCCUCAGCUAUAUAAGCUGUACUGUCAGUUGAUACAGCUUAUGUACAUACCUGCAAUGGCCAUUUGGUUUUGGCUGCCCAACCUUUAUGGCCUCUUCCUCUCAACUGUCAUACCCCCAAUAUCCAAAAGUAGUCCAUGAUGAUAAAUCUGAACUACUCAAGUAUAAGGAAGAUAGUUUUAAUAUAUAUAUAACCCUGGCCUGCUGUUCUGUUGUAGAGUGGGAGAAGACAAUGGGAACGAUAAAUGGGUUUUGGGGCACCUAGUGUGAAUUACAGGGUACCACUCUGGCCAGACUUUAAAGCUUCCAGGUCUCAGGCAGGCCUAUGGUUAAUCCAAACAAAAAAGGUUACUGAUUACACUUAUCAGUAUUAACCUCCUUUUCAUAAUUUACUGGAACUGGGGGAAAAAGUAUAACAAAAUGUAUACAAUUUAGUAACUGUACAAAACAUUAGUUUAGCAAGAUAUUGGUUACAGUCACCAAAAUGAAGACUCAAAAUAUUUCUCACUGCCACUUCCAUGAAAAAUUCAGAUAAAAAGUCACUGGAUGAAAAGUCACAACAGAAGCAAUUUAAACUUUACAUAAAACAGAAAUUGUCAAUCUUCCCCAACAAUGCAGACACAAUCACUCAGAGGCUCUCUGUACUGCCACGGCAUUACUGGAAUGUUUCUCAGAGUCCAUCUUCUACAUGAGCCAUCAGCUUUCCAAGACCAACACUUGAAGCAUUAGAUGUAAUACAAAAUAAGGAGUUCUUUAUUAUUUAUACAAAAGUUGUACAUUAAAAAAAAAAAAUUAAGAUUCAACAACUCUGCUGACCCCCUGAGGAAGAUUUUAUGGGUCCAUCAAAGAGCCCUGUGUGGAUGUUUCAGUCACCAACCUCCUGGCCACAGGACAAGGGACACUCCCUCCACGGCCAUUCACACAGCACCUUCACUGGCUCUGAAAGCUGACCUUCCCCUUCAUUAGGCUCAACAAGCAAGCCAGGCUUUCCUGGACAACAUUAAAGAACACUGCCUUCUCUGGCCCAAGCUUAGAAUGUUUUACCAGUAUAUCGGGUGAUUUUUGUUUAUUUCUUGAACGCUUUCAAUAAACUCCUAGCACAAGAAGCUUUAUUACAACAUAUACAAAUUUGGUACAGUUCUUUACAAAAAACUACCUAGAUUUUUCAGCUAAAUAAAUUUAAGUGUCUUUUAAGAAAUUAAACUUGGCUUCAAGAAAUGGUAAUUUUCUUCCAAACUUGUGUUUUCUACCCCCUGAGUUCUAAGAGA